ensembl:snRNA U6 U6 spliceosomal RNA
GUGCUUGCUUCUGCACCACAUACAGUAAAAUGGAAAUGACACAGAGAUUAGUAUGGCCGGUCCACAAAGAUAACAUGCAAAUUUCUGAGGUGUACCAUACUUUU